GGCGGGGCCUCACCCUCCAGCAGCAGCCCGGCCUGCUUGCGCAGCACCUGCACGAGCCGCUCGUCCAGCUCCACCUCCUCCAGCAGGGCCAGCAGCUGCUCCUCGUUGCGCACCACCUUGUCCUGGGCGUACAGCCCCUCGGGCAGGGCCCGCUGCUGCCCCAGGCCCAGGAGGGCCACCUCCAGCAUCAGCGCGAUGUAGGACUCGCCGGGGCUCCCGGGGACUGGCACGUGCUGCUCCCCGGCCUGCAGGGCGCGGCCUAACACCGUGUGGCGGCGGGAGCCUGCUGCCUCCACCUCCGGGCCUGGGGGAGAGGCACCCAAGGCAGCCUGGUGAGGGGCGUCUCCAGUCUCUGAGCUGUGGACAGCUACCCCCCACUGGGCUGGGGUUAGGACUCCAUCUCCCCCAGGCAUUUCAGAGCAGAGGACCCCGUGUGCUGGGAAGUCAUUAUCACCCUGUCAUGCAGUUGGAACACUGAGGCACUUAUCGCCACCAAAGGGACGAUCAGCAGACUACUGGCUGAGAAGAGAUCGAGUGUGCCCCCGGGGUUUGAAUGAGAGCUAAGAAUUGUUGUUAUAUUUCUAAGUGGCUGGAAGAAAAAUAUAAAAACAAAAGAAUAUUCUAUGACUCGUGAAAAUUAUUUGAAAUUUGACUAAAGGGCCUACGAAUAAAGUCUUAUUGGCACACAGCCAUGCACACUUAUUUA